rnacentral:lncRNA from 1 species
UGGAUUUGGGCCUGGUCAUCAACCGCUGCUGACAUGGCAUCAGAGAUCCCCUUAGAUGAAUGUCUCCAGAUGGAAGCUCUCAAUACUGACAAACCUUUCUUGCAAAUAUCAAACCCAAAUUUGAUUUGGCCUCUAGAUUUAAAUAACAAUUUAUAGGAAACAAAGGGCAUGAUGAUAUCACUGGGAGAAAUUCUGCAAAAUCCAGUCGGUGGAAAAAAUAAAUUUUUAAAAAAAUAAAUCACAAGGAUAAAAAACAAAAAUGAACAGGAAAACCUGAAGAUCAGAGACUUAAAAACAUAUCAACCAGUUGCAAUGUAUGGAUCUGAUCCAGAUCCUGAUUCAAACAAAUAAACAAGUAUGAGAUACAUAAGAAAUGUCUGGUUAUUUAACUAUAUUAAAGAAUCACUAUCAUUUUUAGUUACAUACUGAAAUAUUUACAGAUGAAAUGGCAAUAUUUGGAAUACAUUUCAAAAUAAUCCAGGAGGAAGGAGAAAGGAGAGGCUGUGUAGAAGAAAUAAGAUGGGCUGUAGUAUGAUAACUGCUGAAGCUGGGUGAGAGAUACUAAAGUUUUAUCAUACUCUUCUCUCUAUUUUGUCUAUGUUUAAAUUUUUCCAAAAUAGGAAUGUGAUUUUAAAGGGAUGUUUGUGUGUGUGUGUGUGUGCACGCGCAUGUGUGUGUGUUUCUUCCCCUACGCACACAUAGUGAACGGUUUUCACUAUCAUGCCUUUCAGGAGACACUUCCUUAUUUCCUUCUUUGUCACGUGUUAUGAGGGAUCAGAGAGAAACCACACCUUUGGACCUUCAUCCUUACCGCUUUGGCUUCAGCUUCAGACACCUGCCAGGACUUCGAGCCCUUUUGGUGAAGACUCUAGAAGGAGGAGCACGUGAUUCCAUUCCUUGUGAAACUUUGCCUUCUCGAGUUCACUGCCACUGCACCUGAGAACUCAUCAGUAUGCGAGGACACGUGUGCCGGCCUACAGUAAACAGAAAUCCCUCUUCAAAAAAAAUAAAGUAAGAACACCACAAGACA